rnacentral:lncRNA from 12 species
CUGGCAGGGCUUGUUAGACAGGCUUUAAACUGAGAGGGAGAGGGGAACGGAGCAUCAUUUAACUCCUGUAUCACCACAUAUAUUCAUGAUGUAGAAUACUGGACUAAGAGUGGUCAGUGGAAACUGAUGUAGAAAUGUUGGGGUUUGGAGCCGACAGCCAAGAAAAAAUUCUUGAGACAUCUGCAGUGCAAGAAGGUGGUUUUAUUAAAGCACAGGGGCAAGACUCAUGGGUGGAAAGAGCUGCACUGGGGGUGUGAGGGGUAGCUGAUUAUAUACUUUCAAGUUGGGAAGGGGUUAGGGACAGCACAAGCCUCCAAGGUAUUUUGGGAACAAGGUUUCCAGAGAGGGCUAGUUUUUGUUGGGUAAAGGUUAUUGAUUACUGUUUAGGAAAAACUCAAGUCAUGAGACCCUUCAGAUGUAUAUUGGUGGGCUCUAAGUUUGGAGGGUGAUUGCUAACAUUAUCUUGGCGGGGUGAGAUAAAGGAAGUUUCCAGAGGAAUUUCUAUAUGUUUGAAGCGGACUCACAGGAUCCAAGGGGGUCGGACUAAGAUUGCUCUUUGCCCUUAGCAAAGUGUCAACACUGAGGCAGCUGAGCUCCCAGAGGAAGGUUACUCUGCCUGUUUCAAGGACUUGCCAAUGGGCUGUAAGUAGUAAGGAAAUUUAAUUUUUCUCUUGCCUUUGUCUCCCACAUAAGAAAACAGUACUGAAAAAUUAAACUUUGGUGUGCACAUCAACAGAGUAUAUUUAUAUGUUAUGUUUCUGAUGUGUUAAAAUAUGGGGUAACCACACUGUGGCAUCUUAAGUGAGUUGAACUAUGCAAAAAAAGGAAGAGGAAGUGAAUUUACCAUGACAAACGGUUUGAAAUCAUUUGUGGUGAAAACCCAAAAGGCUUCCUACAACCAAAUCUGUUACAGAAAGUGAGCCAGAGCUGCUCUACUGCACAGAGUGCACAACACCGGCAAGGAUGGUCUUUUUUUGGAAAACAUUCAUCAACUUUUACUUUCACCCACCCUCGCCCCUAACUUAUUUUUUGAGCUCUUUUAUGCAGUAAUCACUCCCAAUUCUGCACACGCGGAGACGCACGGAGGUCUUUUUUUUUUUUUUUUUUUUUUUUUCUGCACAGUACGGAGGGGCAAGAGACACCAGCAAGCAAGCAACUCUUUUAACUUUCCAGUUCCGUUUCCAGAAAUGAUCGGCUAGAAAUCCUGAGAACGGCAGCCCGGCGAGGCAAACGCGCUUCUCCCCAGGCGGGGUGUGGGUCGGGAGCAAGGCCCUCUUCCUCGGGAGGGAGGGGGGCGGUCCCGGCGUGGGG